rnacentral:rRNA from 1 species
GAUGAACGCUGGCGGCGUGCCUAAUACAUGCAAGUCGAGCGAACAGACGAGGAGCUUGCUCCUCUGACGUUAGCGGCGGACGGGUGAGUAACACGUGGAUAACCUACCUAUAAGACUGGGAUAACUUCGGGAAACCGGAGCUAAUACCGGAUAACAUGUUGAACCGCAUGGUUCAACAGUGAAAGACGGUCUUGCUGUCACUUAUAGAUGGAUCCGCGCCGCAUUAGCUAGUUGGUAAGGUAACGGCUUACCAAGGCAACGAUGCGUAGCCGACCUGAGAGGGUGAUCGGCCACACUGGAACUGAGACACGGUCCAGACUCCUACGGGAGGCAGCAGUAGGGAAUCUUCCGCAAUGGGCGAAAGCCUGACGGAGCAACGCCGCGUGAGUGAAGAAGGUCUUCGGAUCGUAAAACGCUGUUAUUAGGGAAGAACAAAUGUGUAAGUAACUAUGCACGUCUUGACGGUACCUAAUCAGAAAGCCACGGCUAACUACGU